UGGGCAUGGCUAGGUGGGCGUGUGACCAGGUGGGUGUAGCUAGGGGGGGGGGUCAUCUGACCAGGUGGGCAUGGUCAAUUUAGCAGUCCAAGCAAUACACACAAACUUUGUUUUGCUCCUGGGGUGGAAAGCAGGUUAGUGAAGGAAUGUGGCUGCCCUGAGGUGUGUAUGAGGGACUUCUGUUUGUGUGUGUGUGUGUCUCCCUCCCUCCCUCUCUCUGGAAGCCAGAGAGGAAAAAAAUGGGGCCAAUUUUGGCCACCCUGGCCUCCAGAAGGCAGGUGGGGACUGGCACAUAGGCGGGGUGAUGUGGGUGGGGCAGCCUCAUGGUCUCCCAUGGGCCUGUUUAAUGGCUUUGGCGGGCCUUAUCUGGGCUCCGAGCCAUAGUUUGAGAAGCCCUGGGCUAGGUGAAGCUCUCCCCCCCAUUUCUCAUAAUUGGUGAUCUCUGAGCUCAAAAGACAGGACCAGCAAAUAUUAAGAGUUUCCCUUUCCGUGAACAUUCGAGAGAGGCCAAAUGGCACCCUUGGCAUUGCUGUGGUGGUGCCAGGCAGCAGCCGCACAGGAUCUAAUCCCCUUUUUGAUUUGCUACUGUUAAACAUUAACGAAGCUGUAGUCUUGACAAGAACUAAGAAGGUUGGAGGGCAAUAAUCCAGACAGGCAAUGGACUCAGCGCUGGACAGCCAUCGGUGGUGAUGCUUUCGACCCUGGUUUACCCCCACUCCUACAAAUUGACACUUGGGGGAUCCGUCCCUGCGGGAAGACUGCCCACCUGGACCAGAACAGAAGCCAUGAUGCAAAUCUAAGGUCUCCGCAGAAAAUUCUCACCCGAAUCAAAAGAAAACUCAGCUGACAGCUCCUGUGCCGCAUUUCAUGUGAUUACUGCUUGCUGCUAUCCAAAGGCAAGAUGACUUGAGUUCAAAAUGCUGGUCCUGUACAACAACUUUGCCUGAAGUUUUGCAGAUCGUAUCUUUUACACCCACCCAGGAUGAAAUCACCAGGAUGGUGAGAAAGGAAAUGGACUUGACUCAGAAAUAAAUAUUAAAAUAACUAACUGCCCUGAAGACCAAGACUAAGUCCAUUACCACAUUGCUUUUGGCUUUCUCCCUGUUCUUCCAAUCUCCUCUACACACUUUGCUGAUGACUCUUCCCCUUUGCUUAGCUUUCCUUUAAGAGAGGCCACACAGCCUUAAAGUUUGAGCCAAAGUUUCCACACCACUAUCCUUUAUGAUUUCUCAGUGAUAUCCUUAUUUGUUUCCUGGAAUUUGAUGAAUUGCUAGUUCCUACAAAAGCUAUUUUUAAUUAGAAGCAAAGAAGUGCCUUGCUUCCUGGGAGGGGAAAAAAAGAUUAUGAAAGGUUUACUAAGCCAUUGGAAAAGAGACC